rnacentral:rRNA from 1 species
CAGUAGCCGCGGGAAUACGGAGGGUGCAAGCGUUAAUCGGAAUUACUGGGCGUAAAGCGCACGCAGGCGGUCUGACAAGUCAGAUGUGAAAUCCCUGAGCUUAACUUAGGAAUUGCAUUCGAUACUGGGAAGCUAGAGUAUGGGAGAGGAUGGUAGAAUUCCAGGUGUAGCGGUGAAAUGCGUAGAGAUCUGGAGGAAUACCGAUGGCGAAGGCAGCCAUCUGGCCUAAUACUGACGCUGAGGUACGAAAGCAUGGGGAGCAAACAGGAUUAGAUACCCCUGUAGUCCCUGUCUCUUAUAC